CGUUAGGAAACGACGAAUAAUACCUAUGAAACUAUCACUUCGCAUGAAGCGAUAGUCAAAGUGUUAGCGGUGUAAGAUGGACUUGCGUCUGAUUAGCUAGUUGGUGAGAAAAAAGCCCACCAAGGCAACGAUCAGUAGCCGGCUUGAGAGAGUGUACGGCCACAUUGGGACUGAGACACGGCCCAG
rnacentral:rRNA from 1 species